UACGUAGGCAGCAAGCGUUGUUCGGAGUUACUGGGCGUAAAGGGUGCGUAGGCGGCUUUUAAGUUUGGUGUGAAAUCUCCCGGCUCAACUGGGAGGGUGCGCCGAAUACUGAGAGGCUAGAGUGUGGGAGAGGAAAGUGGAAUUCCUGGUGUAGCGGUGAAAUGCGUAGAUAUCAGGAGGAACACCGGUGGUGUAAACGGCUUUCUGGACCAUAACUGACGCUGAUGCACGAAAGCGUGGGUAGCAAACAGG
rnacentral:rRNA from 1 species